AUGGCUAUUUCAACAUUUUAGAUUGUCGACCCCUGCCCUACUUGAUUUGAGUUCGGUAAUAAUAAUUCCGAGGGUUUUAGGACCCUGAUUCCCCAUCACGGAAGCGCCCUCAUCAUCACCAUCUUUAUUACCCCCGUUUCUUCUAACGUUGAGAUGCUAAGCGUCAUCCCACAGGCAUUAUUCAUGUCACUAUUAUUUUUGGUGGGUGGCGAGGAGGACGACGAGUCUUCAGUAGGCGAAAGACCUUACGUGGUCUUACGCAAGCAAAAUUUGGUCACGCUGGGGAGCGUCGUUGGCGUCCUGCUGCUGCUGAUGAUCAUCAUGGCCGUGUGCGUGUACAAGCCCCUCUCCAGGCGGUGAGGUUGUCCUCACUCCACUUCCAUGGAGACAAAAACUCACAAUAAAACACAACCUGAGAGUCCUCUGAUGCUCAUCGAACGCACCUGCUACGGAGAAGUGGUCCUCAGAAUGACUGAAGUGGCAAUGCCACUUGCCUAUUUAUUAGGGACACUUUGAACCCACCUUCUGCCAUAUUUGAAUGCAAUGCAUAUUUAUUUUACGUAAAGAUUGAUGAGAUGUAAAGCAACUCACAAUGGAAUUAGUAAUACAUUUGAUUAGCUAAAACAUAGCCAUUGAUAAAAUGUCUGCCCCAUAUUGAGGUGGGUAGUAACGCGUUACAUUUACAUUGAGCCCUCGUUUUUCGCGGUUAAUAUGGACAAGAACCCACCCGCGAAGUAGCGUCCCACCCCCCAUUUUUUUGUGUGUGUGCAAUGUAUUUAUUCAGAUUUAGCAUCGAAAGAGAUACAUAUAAGACAUGUUUUUUUUUUUCACUUUUUUCCCCCAAAUUAAAAAAUAUAUAAUCCGAAAUCCAAGUAAAUUUACUUGAAGCACUGGCAGAUAAUUUCACUUAUUUGCACUGAAAACAAGGGAAUUUUUUUUUUUUUUUUUUUUUUUUAGAUUUAAGGAGGUGGGUUUUUGCUGUGCAUAUGUAUUGAUUCUGGUGAUAUAACAUUAGAUUGAAACCUUUGUUUUCAAAAACUAUGAAAGAAACAUUUUGAAAACUUCCAGAAUAAAUGUCUGGAUUCUAUUGGCAAAUUUAAAUUGCAUUAUUUGAACACAUAUAUUUAUAAAUCAUUACAAAUAUAUUAUAAAUGUAUAAAAUUAUUGAUAAAUUUUAUAUAUAUAUACACACACAGGAAUUAUUUUUUUUUUUUUUGUAAUCAUCUCUUAGGUAUCCCGGAAUGCAAAAAAAUAAACAUUUGUCUUAAUACCACUCAAAAUUGUCUGUUUAAAUAAAAAAAUAAAAAUAAAAUAAAAAAUCAGUCAGGGAAUAACUAAAAUAAAUACAAAUGGAGCCUUCCUUUAGGAAAAACACUACUGCUUUUGUCCACAAGCACAGCCAAACUCAACAAAAUAAAUGAAAGGUCCUUUGGGCUGCUUGAAGACCACAUAAGCAAAAUGAAAAUGAAAACUGCAGAGAAGGGGGUAAACCUUGGUUCACUACAUUUCUUACAGCUGAGCAGAGUUCACUAUAUUUCUCACAGUUUAAUUAACGUUAACAUAGUAGAAAACACAUACAGGAGGACACUUCUCCUAAGCAGCGUCCUACUCAGGUUAGCAAGUUCAGACAGUUUAAUGCAAUGGUAAAACUUAACUGUGAUGCAGGUCUGACUUUCAGUAGCAAAACUAGUGGUGCUUUUCCCACCUUCACAACAAUGACUUUCCACAUUACUCACAGCGGCUGCUGGCCGAAAAAAACUUCUAAUAUUCCUCCUCUUCGGCGGAGGAAGCGGCAUGUCGACAUGUAACGUAAUUCUGCACUGUGAGAAAGUGUGCAUGUGUGCGUGGAAGGUGUGUGUGUGUGGGGGGGUCAACUCAUCAGCCAAUCAAACGUGCAUUUGAGGAAAAAAACAUUGACUGCCUCAUUCGGCAAACGAAAAAAGUCUGACGUCUCAUUGGUGAAACUGUUUGUGUCUCUGGCAAAAUAAAAAAGUAAAAUCUAAUAUGUAGAAUAAAAAGGAAAAAUAUAACAACUAGUGUAGCCCAAAGAAACGGAGUCAGAGAGGUGUUUCUUCACAAAUCUACUCAAGUACUCUUAAAAGUACAUUUUUCUCAAAAAGUUACUCAAGUAAAUGUAACAGAGUAAAUGUAACGCAUUCCUACCCACCUCUAAAAACAUGCUUGCAUUGUAUCCAAAUUAUUGUUACUUUGUUGCUGUUGUGCUGCUGCCGUGCCGUGCAGAGCGCUACUGGAUAUUCGUGCGCAAUUUAUUUUAGUGUUUUGAAAAGUGGGUGUCAAACCGAUGCAUACUCUUUUAGUCUUCAAAUGUGUCCGUGUGUCAUUGCGCCAUCAAGCUAUGGGGAUUUGCAAAUAAUAAACAGAUGCUUUAAUUUCCACAAAAAAACUCCAACACACACUGUAGGUGAAAUAGAACGCUGUCUUUGUAGUAGCCUAGUAGUAAUACGUACACAAUCCAGCAUUGUGCACACCUUGUUUGGACCGAAACGGCUGUUUUUAGAUGGGAAAAACUAAAAAAAGAUCCUCAGCACCCCCUGCUGGGAGCGACUUCCAGCGCCCCUGAUGUCUGCAUUGUCAUAGAUGCAUGAAGCCACAACUUGUCGUAGGAUUUAUUGAAAUAAAGUGCUUUUAUUUUAUGAA